UAUAUAUAUAUAUAUUAUAACAAGAUUUGUAAGUUGAAAAGGACUCAAAUUUUUUUAUUUAACAAAAAUUAUUAGUAAAGGGUUGCAAUAUCAUGUACGUGUCUGAAUGUAUUUUCAAGGGCACUCUUUAUAAUAAUUUAAUCCUUCCCAUUCUUUCUUUGUUAAUACUCCUUGUGUGCCAUUGAAAUAUAACUGUUUGAAGGUGUAAUGAAUACUUCUCUUUUCUUGUUCUUCCUCUCUUUUGGCAUAAAGAAAUACGUAUAUGUUUAGCUGGUUUGCGAAGCUUAUUUCCCACUUUGGCAUUUGGUAUCUAAGGAACUGCCAUCAGCAUAAAGAUAUCAUUAUUUUUAUAAGGUAAAUAUUGUGUGUAAUUAUAUUUACAGAAUUUACACCAUCUGAUUAUAGUUACAUUAGAUUAACAAGAUAUUGCAUAAGAGUUACUCACUGGAAAGCAUUUACCACAUGCAAAUAAUGUUUGAAAUGAUAAUCUGUGUACAGUCUUGCUUGUUAUAAGUGCCUAAGGUUACACUUAAUUUUUUUUGAAGCAGCAGAUAAACGGAGAAAUCAUAAAAAGGUCAUCCUUUUGCUUUCCGUAGACAAGUCGUAGAAACCUAGAAAUUAUGUCACCAGAUAUGAACAUUGUCUUAAAUAUCAUAUUAGGUUUAUGUAGUUUUUUUUAUAUAUAUAUUUAUUGGGGACUGUAAACAGCUCAUUAAAUAAACUUUUCAUUGGUACAGUA